CAUUCCCUUUUAUCUGUUUCUGGAGGUGGGCUGGGUCUGCAUGGGCGUGAAGAGGAAACAAAUUUACUGUCUUCAUCAGCUUGGUGCGGUUAACAGAUUUUUGCCAAAUUGUUCACUCCACCCAGAAAUACGCUUUGCAACGCAGAAGAGAAUAAAAGAGCAAGAGCACUGAAACAGGUCUCAAUGAGUAAGUGGACUCUCAUAUCUUUAUGGCAUCUGUAAAAAUAUGUUUUACAUGGAUGUAGUCAUGUUCUUGCCUCCUCCCACCUUUCUAUCUGUUCUUAACGACUUUGCAGUUUGCUGGAUGACACUCAGUGUCAAGCAAGCAUUUUGGUGAAAACCACCUAGAACGAGACUUUCACAAUUCCCCCGAGCACGCCCCAAAUCUGCUUCUUAAGUGGAAAAUUGCUGAUGUCUUUCAAGAGGCAGUUUCCCAUUAUAGAGCAAAAACACCACACAUUAACAUUUGACAACAGUCAGCGUUUCCUUUGUACCCAGGAGGAGGCGCGUAGCUGCUCUGCAGAGAGCAGCGCUGGAGACGGGAGACACGAGAGCCUCUUCCAGGGCACGGUCCUGCCUCUGAGAGCCUGAGAUCGCCCAUACUGAGACGGAGCGCCCGGGCGGGAUGAGCAAGAGAACAAGGAUGUGGAAGCUCCUUCCUGGUGCUUUCCGGAUGGCCACAGGGUUGCCAAACCCGAGGAGGAACAAAAGGACGCUCCGGGCGCUAGAGAUGGUGACGAUGGCUGAGGACAGACAGACGGCAGAGAAACGCAGGCAGGGAUCACAGCGACUUCUUAAAAUAAUCCCCAUUUUUUCAACUGAAGCUGGUGGGCAAAUGAUCAGGAUGAGUUCGUCAUGCUUAAUUUUGAAAGAAGGGGCAACUAAAAGGCAGAAGAAGCUCUGACGCUUUCUUAAGUAAUAACAGUAUGAAACUUAAGAAGGAAAACCCAGUAUUUUCCUAGUUCUUAGUUCCUGAAAAUCAUCAAUAAAUGUGAAGGGAAAUACAUCUGAAAGCCUCUGAGGGUUCCAGCAGUCCAAUAUUAGACUAUGUUUAAGUUUCUAAAGCAGAAUGUACCUGUGUUUGAAUUUUCACAAUCACCAAGAAGACUUGUGCAAGAGUCGAUAUCAGACUUCAUCCACAGACACUUCAAACCCUUCGAACAAACAGCCCGGAGAAUCCCUUCCAAAAGCCACCAGAGGAGUCAGAAAUGCAAAUGUCGUUGGCGUUCAGAGGUGGAGGCGGCCGGACAACACGGGCUCUGCAUAGAGUGGGGUGUAAGUGGAGAACGUUGCCCUUGAGGGAUCAAAUAACGGUUGGCCAAGGGUUCUCCUGCCCUUGGGGGACCCAAGUCGUGGUUGGCCAAGGGUUCUCCUGCCCUUGGGGGACCCAAGUCGUGGUUGGCCAAGGGUUCUCCAGACAAGCGACAGCUGGAGAAGGGGCAGCAGAGAGGGGACGCCUUCCCUUGCAAAGCCAGUGCAAAUGGAGAAGCUCUUGUGUCUUGGUGGCCACCCCAAGAUGGAGAGUUAUGUGCUGCAGGUCACCGCCCAGCCCAGAGCGCCCGCUCCCGAUGAGCGGUCCCAGGGGGCUGAGGGUACCUGGGAUUAGUGAGAGCAAACAGGUCGGCUCUCCCCGCGGCCUCCUCCAGGUUGCCAGACACUCCAGAGCUGCCUCCUCUGGCCGUGCCGUCCCGCGUGGCGGCUCCAGGACAAGGGGGAAGAUCUGUUAAGUCAGCCGAAUGCCUGGAUGCUGACCGCAUUCGGCACAUACAGAUAAGACGCCCAGAUUGAGUCACUCUGACGUCUUCAGACAAGAUGUGCAGAUUAUACCGAACCUGGAGUCACUUCAGCCUCCUCCAGGUAAAACUCGACAGGCAGCCUGGGCUCAGCCGUUCCUUCAGAUCUCUUACGCAAGGAGCUGCGCGCAGCAAAAUCACCAACACCGGCAAAGUGUAAACUCUGCAGAAAAGGCAGAUGAAAACCAAGCCCGGCUGCAGCUCCAGAUCUCACCAAACAAAGAGACUCUGGCAGCGCAGAGAAUGUGGCAACGAGUGCUCACAGCAAUGCCUACUACGUCAUAUUUGAGAUGCUACAGCUGAGAAGAAACAGACUCUUAAAAUUAAGUACAAGAAUAGGCGACUCUUGCCCCGGGCCAAAGCCCAGAGAGCUCCUGGCUGUGCCCCAGUUCUCAGAGGCAUUGCCUUCCCAUCGGCUCCCGCUGGGCCCGGCCCGGCCCCGGCCCCAGCUCCAGCGCACUCCUACUGGGCUCCCAGGGAACAGGCGUCCUGUGAAAGCCCCGGAGCCGCUGGCCGCUGCCCUGCUGGGCCUCUUCCUGAGGCUGCAGCUUCCCGACCCGCUGCGGGGACACCGGCAGCUCACAAAAAGCUGUUGGGGGACUCCUGAGCCGCUACUGAAAGAGUUUUCUGCCCCUUUGACACCUUCUUGUGGUGGGGGAACCAAAGCACAGAUCAAACACGCCGGCGUUCUGCUCCCAGUCUGGCUCCCGCACCCCCUCCUGAUCUCUCCCCCUUGCUCUCAGUGCAAAGAGACCCUGGGGGAAUUAACGGGCUUUUCAGGGAGCUGGCGGGUCCCUGAGCCCACGGGUUCGGGGUCAAUCCUGCCCUCCCAGCCCGCCGUGUUCCCUCUGCUGGUCAGUGGUGGGGAGGCUGAGCUGCUGGUUCUGGUGCCGGGCUCUGCAGCCUACGUGGCCAUGGCCGACCUGUACACCAGAGGGCGGCUGCUUGGCCAGUGUCCAUGUCCCCCCUCCCCACUGUGGGAAACUGCAGCGGGUCUGUGGAAUCCUUGACAGAAAAUAUGGGAGUAGAGAUCAGCCUUGAGAUAUUAAGAUUUACCCUUGAGAAGGAUGGGAGUAAAGGAGUAUCCGGAGAGAGGAGAGAUGUACCCGUGAGAGAGAAGGGGAUAGAAGAAUAACAUGGAUGAUAGAAAAAUUAACCAAUGAGAUGUUAGUGCUGUAACUUGUAACCAAUGGUGAAAAGACACAUGAACCGGUAGAAUUGUAUAAAAAUGCACUUGUAGCAAUAAACAGCAUCCAUUACUUUCAUCUUGAAAGAACUUGGUCCAUGUCGUUUGUCCAUCUCAACCGCGACACCCCGCGGCCGCAGACCUGCCCUCCCACCCCUGCCCACGGGGCCACUGCUCCUGCUCUGCCCCCAGCACACCAGCUCUGCCCCAGGGCAGACGGCCAGCGGGAGCGGCCACGGGGGGCGCCCGCCCGCGCUGGUUGGUGCCAUGGCCGAGGAGCGAGGACCGGGACGGUGCUCCUGCCUCGGCCGAGUUGCUGCCCAUGGCGGGACGGGGCAUCCAGAACCCUCCGUUCUAGGUACGGCAUCGUGUUUUCGGGCACUGCGGGGAUGGGGAUGAGGCAAGAGGCAUCACCCAGGCUUGGACACUUGCUCGGCUCCCUCCACACACCCGUUCUGUUCCCCAAACAGUCACAACACGUUCAACAGCACAACCCACACCUUCCACCAAGUCGCUUCCCCAACACCUGAGCCACCUUGCCUAGAAGUGCUUUCCCACACAACGACACGAAGACAUGGAGAAUGUUCUCUGCAAUUUAUUGAGAAUGGCAACAUCUAACAGAAGAGGGAGGGUGCUGGGGACACGAGGACAGAGGGGGACACAGGCGCUUUAUACACAUUUGCCUUGGGCAGCCAGAAAUGUACAACGCAGCGAGAAAGGCAGAGCGGUGCCCUCCUGCAAACCAGCUCCCCGUGACGGCGUCCACGAGGGAGACUGUGCUUCGCUCAGAUGGUGAUUUCAUCCCUGGGCCUGGGACUAACGAGCAGCUCGCCAGGGCUGCUAACGGGACGUGGCAUUGCCAGCAGACCCCCCUGGUGGCACCGGGCCAGGCAGAUGAGCCGGUACGUGGUGCGCCGUGGGGGACACAGUUCAUUGCAUUGCGGGACACCGGAGCUGGGUUUAAGGAGGCUGGGCUGCUGCCGGAAGGAGAUGGGAGACGCUUCUUUCUGCUUUCAACCUGGGCCUGGGGCUCAGAAUCUCACUCCCGAAGAUUUGACAGAGGUGGUCGUGACACAUCUCCGUACAGAGGAUGAUCCCCCCCCGGAGCUGAAGCCACCUCCAGAGCCGCACA